GCUCUUCAGGCAUUUUUUCAUCUUACAAAUCUUGACAGGGUCCUUUAUCAAUAUAUUGUGUCACUGGCUGGGAGGGAUAACAUGGCUUAACCUCUGUUGGGAUCUCUUUUCUAAGCAUAAGUUUGUAUCUCAGGGCACAUAAUUAUCUGUGCAUAUCCACUAGUCAAUGGAGUUGUGUAAGAUCCAGGCCAAACUUGGCCUGUGUGUGUGUAUCAGUGACAUCUACUUGCCAGCAUGUCAGGCCUGUUGAAGUGACUGUUGCCUCUCUGGUGGUGGUUGGAGACUUAUUGAAGAUAUAAGCCCUGGUAUUACUCCUGGGAAAUAAUGAUUCUGCCAUUAGUGCAGGUGCUAACUGGCCUGGAACAGCUGGAUCUGAUUUCCAUCGCUGCUGCUGACUGAAUGCCCAGAACUAUUACCAAGUGCAGGACAGAAUGUGGAGAUGGAACUCUGAUCCUUUCUGCAGCAGGGCUUUUAAUAGGUUAAAUGGAGCAGCCAUUUAAAUAGGGCUCUGGAAUAGCUCUUUGGAGAGCCAAUAUUCUUGAGAGGAAAUAGCAACAAGAGUCCACACUAUCAAGACAUCUGAGUAGCCCUAGACUAUUAGAUGCAUCUGAACAACAUCUUCCCUCCAGCUAGAAGCAGCAUUAGGUGACAUUGUGAACAAGAAGCAGGCAGCAUUAUCUCCUGCAAAUGUAACCAAACUUGUUUGAGCAAUUGGCUGAACAAGAAGUAGAACUGAGUGGACUUGUAAGGUACUAAUUUUACAUUUUUAUUUUUGAAUGGUUAUUUUUUGUACAUAAUUCAUUCUACCUUUGUAAGUUGCACUUUCAUGAUAAAGAGAUUGUACUAGCUGAAUUGAAAAAUAUUUUUACUGUGCAAAUAUUUGUAAUAAAUGAGCACGGUACACUUUUUGUAUUGUGUGGUAAUUGAAAUCAAUAUAUUUGAAAAAUGUAAAACAUCCAAAAGUAUUUAAAUGAUAUUCUUUUGUUGUGUGACAGUGCACUUAUUUUUUUUUUAAAUCACUUGACAGCCCUACUUUAGUUAGCUAGAGAGGAACACUGUAGUCACACAAGUCCCUCCUUUCUUCCUCACGCUACUUUUGCUGCCUGUGUAACACUUGCAAAGGGGAACUGGGCAGGCAGCAGGCCAGGAUAGUUCACUAUGGUAUCCUAAAGUCUCCCUUUCUAAUUCAGCAUUCAAGCAGCUUUGCGCCAUCCUAUCCUAUCUUAAAGAUUAAGCUGGGCCUUGUCAAGUGUGGAUUAAGGAAGCAUCCUCAAAAUUGAAAUCCAGGGUCAGAGGCUGUAGAGCACAAACAAUAGCUCCAUGCUGGGCAUCUGCGUGAGCUGGCUCACUCAGGAGGAUGAAGGUGAACAUCCAGCAGAAGGAAGAAUCAGUCUGAUGGACCUUGAAGCUUGGCAGAUCUAUGCCUCAGGCAGCUUAAGUCCCUCUCUGGUGAGAGCUCUUGGAAGGACAGAGGGUAAUUGAGAAUGUGCAUUACACUAGAGGAGGCACAGAUUGUGGGACUGUACUAAGUCUGGAAGUGUCUCCAUUUAUGCAGGUAAGUUUUCCUUGUCAAGGGUUUUCUUCUAUGAAGCAAUACUGUCUGUACCUCUUGGGAGCACUUUUCCUCUAUACCAAGGAGCCCUAUAGCAGCUAGACCUUGAGGUGAAGCACUGAAGUUUGGAUGGUGAUGGAUCCUGACUCCUGAGGAGAUUUGCUGUCAGGAGAAGAUGGAGAGUGGGGUCACAGAGACAUGCGAACCUGCCCUGGGAACCAUACCUGUCAUGGUCAGGAUGGUGUUUCAAUUUCUUCAGAAUCUUGAGCAGGAAGGGAGUUGGGGGGCGGGGGGGGGAAUAAAGAGUACAGCAAUAGGCAAGGCCAAGGAAUGACCAGAGCAUCUCUCAUCAAGUUGUGAUCAUGCCCUCCUCUUGAGCAGAAGCCUCUGUACUCCACAUUGGAUGAUGUCACAAAGAGAUCCAUCUGUAUAUGACCCCAGGAAGUGAUGCAAGAGUGGAAGUUAAUACCAGUGUUUCAAUAGAAGCCAUCCUGCUUUAUUACAGCAUAAUCCCUCCAUCUUCCAGAGGAAAAAAAGAUAUCCACCACCAACUAAAGUUCUCUCUGCAUUUGAGGAGAAUGCUUGUGGGGAAGACAGACAUGGAGGAAGAAGCCAGACUUCAGAUGACAUGUCCACAUACAAAGUUUCUUCCUACACUGAUUUACCCCAAGACAAAAGCAGCUGCUGUGAUGAAGCAGGCUGGAGAAAGCAACUUCCAUAGCCCUCCCCUCCAGGCAAGACCUUCCUAGAUUCUCACUCUUCAGCAUACAAGAGUACCUGCAGGACACAGCUCUUUCCAUCCUGACCACUGCCUUACUCACAGGGACUAUUUCCUUCGCAGGUAUGGGAGGUUGGGGGACUGCCACCUUCUUCCAGUGAUGCUGCUGCUGCAAGGAGCUACUGAAGUCAAGAGCAGGGAUUGAAGGGGAGGAGGAAGGUGCCACAAUGACUGUCAUCAUGAGGUACCCUACACUUUAUUUAUUUAUUUUUAAAGUGGGAGGUGUGUAGGUGUAAAGAUACCAACUGCCAAGAACAAGAACUCAGAGGCUCUGAUGAGACAUCAUAUUUUAGUGUGAAAAAUAUUUUAAAGACAAUUUCUUCACAUGAAAGAGCACUUGAUUUUAUUUUAGAAGGUUUAGAUUAGGCAGACGAUGCAGAAUUUGUAAUAUUUACUCUGCCACACAGAAGUUAAUACAUUCACAGUUCUGCUCUAACUGACUAGAAACAUACUCUAACUUGGUGACAAAGUAGUCCUAUGCACUGGUUCUCAUUAAGGACUCCUGUAGAAAACAAGAGAAGUUUUUUUGCAUUGAGUGAAUUAAAAAGAGUCACCUGUAAAAUCUUAACUUUUUUCCAAAAAAAAAAAAAAGGUAUUUUUGGUAGAGAUUACAGGAAAGUAAUUUCAUAGAGAAAACAGAUCAGAAGGGUUUUUUUUGUUUUUGUUUUUGGUUAGGAGGUUGUGGUGACAGAGUCAGGCUGAUAAUGGGCAGGAUCUUACAACCUUAACUUUGAAGACUUAGUUUUUCAAAGCAGUGCAGUGGAUUUACCCACACACAUUCCAUUAAUUUCAAUGAACAUAUCUACUGAACUAUGUAUGUAAAAAUACUCGAUAUUCACUAGGGUCUUGUUUGUUUAAAAAAACAGCACAGAAAAGUUUGAAUAUAGCAGCAAUGACAAAACACAUAGAAUUUACUGGCUGUUUAGAGUAAAUGCCAUCAUGAUGGAGAGCUAUUUUAAAUCUAUUAUAUGAAUGUAAGAGAAUUUAAUUUUUCUUGGACAAUUCUCCUAAUGUACAAGUUAUUCACAAAUCUAAGUCAAAAGGCAUUAUGUAGGUGCACUGACUUCAGUGCAAGCCUCUUGGGGGUUUAAUAGCUUUAAACAAAUCAUCACACAAGCGCAACCAUUUAAAUAUAUCUAAAUGGUUCAAAGAAUGCCUUUGAGUCUUUCAGUAUGGAAAUCAGUAGGUUUCUGAUCUACAGCCUUCAGCUGAGUGCCCAUUAUACACUUUGCAUUUUUUUCUUUGAAUUGAUUUUGUCAUACUUGCUUUUCAGGCAAGUAGUUAAUAGCAGAGUCCUUGUGGCAAUAUAUAUUGAAAGGAAAAAGCUGGUCUAUUAAUGAUUCUCCAAUAAACAAGUGUAUUCUACACA